rnacentral:lncRNA from 1 species
AACAAAUAUAUACCAGUUAAUACUAUUACACACAUUACAUGAGUUAUGUUACACAACAUGUGUUUUCGUCUGAAAUUAAGCAAAAAAUUGAAACGUCUCAACUGGAAUAGUUUCUGAAUCAUUAGAUGUGUUGUCAGGCGGUGCUCCUGCCGGCCUUCAUGAUGGGGUGGGUGAACCGGAGUUGCACUUACACCAUCCAAAUACACCUCUCCAGCAUAUUAAAGCAUGCAAUAUCUAGACCCAUAUGUUCAAAAUCUAUGUUCUAAACAAAACCUAGCCUGAAGCCAUUAACAUUAAGAAUAGUCCUGGGUACUCCUGUGUACCACUUGCACAUAAAGCAAGGGAGUCACUAAGAAGAAAAACAAUGAUUUCAUUCAACUGAGUAGAUGCAGGUGAAGAAGAAUUAAGAACUCAUACUUUUUCCAUGAGGUGUAAGGGGAAUAAUAAUAGAUUCGCUUAGGAGAAACAAAUGUCGUUCAAGGGAGUAUAUGAGAUAUGUGAUUGGGUGGAAUAGUUGGGAGCUCAUAUUUGUUUUUGAAGGCAUGUAGGAAAUAGUAAACGCACUGGUCCAAACUCCAGAAGUAAAGUGGGUGGCGCCAUGCAUGGUACAUAUAAUGAUGCCACUAAUUAAAAGGGGCAUCACCAAAAAAUGAAGAAUGGAAUCAGAUAACAAUAAUUCCUACUAAAAUUAUCGGCAAGCUUGCAUGAAAGAGGACAGAGUCUUGUAAGACCUUGUAGCUGUGCUAUUCUGUUUUGAUGAAGUUUCAUUCAAUCAUAACAUUCAGAAACAACAAUUAUACGCUGGUAGAAAAUGAAAACGAAGCAUUAGGGACAACUAAUCCUGGACCAGAGAUAAGUGGACACACACCCGCACACGCACACGCACGCGCGCGCGCACACACACACGCACAAGAUAGACUAAUUUAAAUUCCUGCUCCGGUACUUACAUGAGAAGUAUUUUGGUCCCCCAUUCUACAUUCUCAACUUAGUGCUUCACUAAAAAAAUUAGGAACUUGAAGCGAUCCUUGUAUAUAUAAACACAAUCUAUGAUAUUCUUACAUACAACUUUAUUUUGCUUCACAAUAAAAUUUUAAAGCAGAUAAAAGAAACAUGUACAAGCACUGCCAUAUGGGAUAACUGAUGGUCAUAUUUUUCCUGAAAGGCGCCUGAUGGUUAUAUGAAACAUCUAAAACUUUAGGAACCAGAUAUGAUCUAAGGAAGUGACACACACUGCAUGUACCUAAUAACAAAAGCCAUAGGAAAGAUAACCUUUAUUGAUUGAAAUAUUGCCAGAUCCACUCCUUUCUUUGAAUAGAAAGUUAGCAACAAGCACUGGCGCCAGCACAUCCCCUUUGUCAUAGAUCAAUAGACAGCAAAAAUGGAGCAACAUUAACGUGGGCUAACUCCUAUGACAGUUUGCAUAUUAAGAAACUAAGAUUACAUAUGGCUAGAUAAUGAAAUUCCUUUGCACCAUCGUGUUCUUACUUUGAAAUGUGGUAGCAACAAUUAGAAAGAUUCUAAUACGUUAGUUUUGGCACAACGGAAAAUCCAGUGCAUGUACCUGUAAUCAACACCGGCUACGAUGGUCAGUUCAUCUUCAUUGAGUACUGAUCAAGCGGCACCAUGUUGAGAAAAAUCAACAAAUUUCUGUCCUUAUCUGCUGCAAUUUUUUAGCUAGUAAACAAAGCACCUGAACAGAUUUCUGCAUUCCAAAAAUUAAAAUUAACAGAUCUCAGCAAUCUUGUUGAGCAAGAAAGAGGCCUUGUCCACCUGCUCCGCCUCUGAGCCGUUGACAAGAACAACCUCCCUCUUGAAUUAAUUGCUGAUCUCCUCCACCCCUCGCAUAUGCCACUCCACCACCUUCGUCGCCACCCCCUUCUUAUUCACCUGCUUCAUCUCAAUCGAUGGUGACGGGCCCAUGGGGCAACGUCCAGGUCCAGGUCCAGUUGCACCGCCCUAUCGCUGCCCCGGCUACUGCUGGUUGGCAUGUCGAUGUAGAUACACUACAUUGAUUAGUACAUAUGUCAUAUUAAUCAAUGAAUGUUGAUCUAUUUGUAAAUCAUAUAUAUGCACUAAAAAACGACAGUUCAGUAGAAAGGCUUAUAAGAUCAUGAUCGACAGUUGUUCUCGAACACAUGAAUUACUUCUUAAGUAAAAUAAACAGUCAUCCAUAAAUCUGCAUUUAGAAUUUAACCAUGAACAAUAAACUUGUAUACUUGUGUGUACUGUACCAUAGAAAAGAACUACUGUACUGUAGAAAGCGGGAAAUGGAUACAUGUAGAACACAUAACGUGUUGAAAGCGGGAAAUGCUACUGCUUGUAGCAAAACCAAUGAC